rnacentral:tRNA from 1 species
GUUGUAAUAGUUUAAUAAAAACACAGGUUUUGUAAACCUUAAAUGAUCAAAUCUUAUAAUU